AUUCAUUAUCUCAGCUUACAAUACAUGUCCACACUAACAUACUAAACUAUUACAAAGCCACAACCUUAACUCUUGAGACUUCCUAAUCUUCCUCAGACCUGCAAACCUGAGGUUAGGGGAGAGGGGUGAGCUAAAAAGCCCAGUGAGUAGAAACAAAGAAAACAGUUCAUUAAUUACAUGCAUUCAUGAAAUGCGUCACAGCACAAACAAUUCACAUCACGGAUUGGACAUGACCUCCAAAGCUCCCUCUGUCAAUGCCCGGCCCCCAAAGGAGCUCACAUAGGACUUUCACUACAUAACAUGGUGCCUGGCCCUCAAAGGAGCUCACAGGACUUUCAUUACAUGGUGCCCGGCCCUCAAAGGAGCUCCACAGGACUUCUCUUGUCGUGACAGAUCGUGGGCCAUUGGGGUUGCCUUGGUCCAUCCACAUCAACAAUAAAUAAUGCAACGCGUCAUAUUCGUGGAACUAGUGCAAUCAAUCUAUUACAUAUAAUCAUGAUGCAUGAACAUGCUUUAGGCAUUUGAUUUCAUAAAAUAAAAGAUUAAGUUUAGUUCUACUCACCUCUGGUAGACGCUGGACUAACUCCGCAACUGCUAACACUGAUGGCCUCCUCGGACCCUCGGGUCCAAUCCUACACAGGUGGAAUUGAAUGAGGUGCCAAACACAUUCUAAACAACUCAUAAACAACUACCCGAAAACCCCUCUAAACAUCACUUAAACAUGCAUAGAAAACAACCAUAAAAGGGCUAGACAGGGCACUUUCGGCGGCCGAAGGUCCCUUCCAGAGCCGAAAGCCAUGCAGGUUCGGCGGCAGGUUCGGCGGCUGAAGCCUCACUCCAAAUCCGAAAGUCAGGCACCUUCGGCGGCCGAACAUCACCUUCGGCGGCCUAAAGUCUGCUCCAGAUCCGAAACACAACUUUCGGGGGCAAGGUUAGGCGGCCAAUCUAUGCAUCCAUAGGCAGGUUCGGCGGCCGAAACCACCUUCGGCGGCCGAACCUGAGUUCACCCAGAACUCUGCCUCAUGCACAAACAAGCCUCCCAAACCUUACCAACACCCAAAACAUGCCUCCAACCUCACAAACACAUGCAUAAACCCCUAACCAUGCACAAAGGAGCUUAAACAAGCUUAAACUCCAACAAAGAACAUCAUAAAGCAUGCAUAAAUAGCUUAUGACCCACAUAAGCCAAAACCAUCAAAACUACUCAAAACCUCACUUGCUCUUUCCCAAUCAUGCAUACACUCUCCCACAUGCAUAAAGGAGCAUAAACUAACAUAAACCUUCAACACAAACAUCACAUAACAUACAUUGGGCAUAAAAUCCACAUAAACCUAAACAUGCAUAUCUACCCAUACUCAACCAUCAAAACAUCAUUAAACUUACUUAAAACUUCAUUAAAACACAAGGAAAGCAAGGAUCUACACUUACCUCUUGAAGAUCGAGGGGUUGUGCAAUCCCUAACUUGGAGGUGUGGAGGAUUCAAGCUCCAAAAGCCUCCAAGCUCCCAAAACUCCUAUUUAAGCUUUAAAACAUCAAAACAAGGGUAGAACUCAUGAAAAACUUGAGGGAUGGGUAGAGAAAGCAUGAAAACGAUCAAAGGAGUACAAAAACUCACCUGAGCUCGAGAAUGGGGAGAAAACUCGCCCAUGUCUGAUCUGAGGGCUCUUUAUAGGUGACCUGGUCAAAGACCUUCGGCAGCCUAACGUGCCCCCUAAACUCAUGCAUGUUCGGCGGCCGAACCUUGGUUCGUUUAAACAAAGCUUUCGGAGGCCAAAAGCCCUCCCAAAACCUUCCCAUGUUCGGCGGCCGAACUUGACUUUCGGCGGCUGAACCUAGCAAAUGCCUCCUUGGUCUUUUCUUUUCAAAACUCAAUUCUUUUCCAUUUAAAACUAUGAAAUCAGUAAAAACAUUCUAGAAAACACAUUUUACCCCUCUAGAAGACUCUGGCAUCUUCAGAAUUCCAGAUUCCAACGAAGAUUCCCCCGAAAGGAAGGGAUUCUGAUGCCGGAAUCUAGCCGGGCAUUACAUCAUGGGCCCAUUCCCAUCAUCCUUGUAGUGGAUUAUGUGUCCAAGUGGGUGGAAGCAAGAGCAACUAAGACUGAUGAUACCAAGGCAGUAGUAGACUUUGUGAAGACCAAUAUCUUUGACAGACAUGGAGUACCAAAGGCAAUCAUCAGUGACAGAGGGACCCAUUUUUGCAAUAAGUUAGUAGAAAGUCUUCUCAGAAAGCACAAUGUGUUCCAUAGAACAUCCACAACAUACCACCCUCAUACAAAUGGGCAAGCUGAAGUGUCCAACAGAGAAAUCAAGGCCAUCCUUGAAAAGACAGUAUCUCCCAAUCGGAAGGACUGGAGUACACGUUUGGAAGAUGCUCUAUGGGCCUACAGGAUAGCUUAUAAGACCCCCAUAGGUAUGUCCCCUUACAGAUUGGUCUAUGGUAAAGCUUGUCACCUUCCAGUUGAGCUUGAACACAAGGUCUAUUGGGCCGUAAAGAAUUGCAACAUGGACCUCAAAGAAGCUGGACAACAUCGCAAGUUGCAACUGCAAGAGCUAGAAGAAAUAAGACGAGAUACUUAUGAGACUUCUUGAAACUACAAAGCAAAAACCAAAGCCUCCCUCGACAGUCAGCUUUCAAGAAAACAAUUUGAGGUUGGUGAUAAAGUCUUACUCUUUGACUCUCGUUUGAAAUUGUUUCUAGGAAAGCUACAGUCUAGGUGGAUUGGACCAUUCAUUGUAGAACAUGCUUACCCACAUGGAGCUGUAGACAUUCGCAGUAUAGAGACAGGAAAAAUCUUCAAGGUGAAUGGCCAUCGUCUAAAACCUUUCUAUGAAGGAUUUGCAGUGCAAGUAGUGGAAGAAAUUCCACUACAUCAACCAUCUCAUUCAGCCUAAGUGAUCACACCAUGCACACCACACCCCAGGGGAGUACUCAUUUUCCUUUGUUCUUUUAUGUUUCUUAUACAUUGAGGACAAUGCAUGAUUUAGGUGUGGGGGUGCAUAUUUCUUCUCUUCUUCUUCUCUUCUUCCUCUUCUUUUCUUCUUCUUUUCCUCUCAGCCUGCGGAAUUUUUUUCAUUUUUUCCUUUCAGAAUUUGCGAUUUUUGCUUAUUCAAUUUUGCUUUCAGUUUUCCUUUAGUUUGUUUUCAUUUAUGCUUUCAAUAACACACACACAACCACAACCUUCUUCUUCUUCAUUUUGUUUUGCUCUACUCAAACUGAUGAACUAUGUUGGAUGACUUUUUGUUUCCAUGACCCCAUUGAUGUGAUGACUCUUUAAACUUAUGUUGAAUCAAUUGCAGUGAGUUAUAUUCAUGUUUGAGAAUUGCCUUUUGAAUUGAAUAUUUGAGUUUGUCAUGGUGAAAAAUAUAUUGACGACACUCAUUAGAGAAAAUAAAUUGAAAUUGUGUGAAUAAACUUAACAUGACUUUCUUUAGUAAUUGUUGUUGAUUUGCCCAAAUCAUUGAGAGAAAGAAAAUUCAGCAAAGGCAAAGACCUCAUAAGCACAAAUUCAAAAACUGUUCCAAUGGUCAAAAGACUAUGAACAGAGCUAGUAGCCACUUGGACAGGUGACCAACUGAGUAACUGGGGGUGGGUAUCACAAAUAUGUACCUUCGCGUCAAAAGGUUGGUGACUUUUUCAAGCAAAAUUAAAGUGCAAAAAGCUGAAUAAAGUACUUCAAGGUAAGGGCAAGUCACUCUGAAAGCUAAAAAGAGUAUUAUCUGAACAAAUAAUAUGUGCAUGUAUGAUCUCUCUCUUGAGUAAAAUAAAUCCUAGCCAUGGUAAGUAAAGGGAAACAAGGAAAGAAGGUGAGUAAUCUUUAUGCCUAUAUUCUUCACUGUAAUGAUUCAAAAUAGGUGUCUUGAGAAAGAGCUUAAGUGGAAAUAAGGAUCAAGUAGCAAAGAAAGCUUAUUUGACUAUGUUUAUUUGCUUGAGGACAAGCAAAAGGCUAGGUGUGGGGGUAUUUGAUAGAGCAUAUUUUAGUCCUUUUUAUCUUGAUAUUAUUGAUGAUUAUUUACUUGAUUUCUGCUUAAUUUAGUGCUCUUGGCAUUGUUUUACAGAAAAUGGUGUAAAAGGACAUUUUGGAGAAAAUCCCCCUAAAAUUGCCUUAAAUGGAGCAAAGGAGAGCAAGUCUGCCAAGCUGAAAUCAAGUCAAGCUAAAUAAGGAAAGUUCUAAAUAAGGAAAGUGGCAAAUAUGGAAAGAACAUUCAGCCAAGGCAAUUUGAAAUUCAAAUUUCAAAUCUCCAAGUAGCCUUUUCCUUAUUCAAGAAGCCAAAUCUGAAGUUGCCAUAUGUGAAGAGCCAAAUAAGGAAAGUAUUUUGAAAUUCAAAUCUUCAAGAUUCAUAUUCAAAUUUUGAAUUUCAAAAUCCAGCUUAUUAAGGAAGCCAAAUCCAAAGAUCACAUGCUUGUCACCUCAUGCCUUGCACAUUCAAAAUUCAAAUUGCAAUGGAGGCUCCACCUUCCUUAUUAGUGCAUGGGCGGCAAGGAGAGUGUGAAGGCAAGUCUUGGGAACCUUGGGCAGCAUCUUGAAGACAUUUGGGCAGCAAACAAAGACCAAAAGACCCACUCUUGCACAAGCCACACAUGCCCCACUUUUUUUCCUUCACACAUGUGCAUGGAUGGCACAUCUUGAACCAAGGGCAUUUUGGGCAGCCUCUUGAAACCCUAAGACAGCACCUUAGAACAUAUUUAAAGAUCUCAAAGAGGCCAUCCAAGGCAGAUUGGGACAGCAACUCAUCAACACACCAUUUGGCCAAGGCUCUCCAAGGCUUUUCUCCACUUCGGUUCUUCAUCUUCUUGCUUUCUUUUCUUUUAUUUUCUGUUUUGGUUCAGCCAUGAGUGGUUGAAACCUUUUAUUCUAGUUGAAGAUUGAUUGAAACUAAGGUUGUUUUAUGGAUUGUGAGAUCUGAACAUAAACUAUUUGUCUUUGAUUAGUUCAAUAUUCAUACAAUUGUGUGCUUGAAUCUAAGAUUGCUUUAUUGUUUUGAUCAAAUUGGCCACUUGAUUCUUGAUUGCAAGGUAAUUGAUUGUUAGUUGGGAUAAUUUUUAGUCCAUAAUUGCUGGAAUUAUUCUGACCUAAGAACACUUGGUGUAAAAACUAAGGAAUUGUAUGAUCUAGCAACAUCUCAUGCCUUUGAGUAGCUAGGAUUGGAUCUAUCUAUUUCUUCAUGCAAUUGACAAUUGUUUUGAUGCCUAAGGCCCAAGGACGUUUCUUGGCAAUUUGUUAAUUAGUAAUUGAUUAGAGGACGUUCCCUAAUUGAGAUAAUCAUAAGGAGAGACAUGGUGGUGAGAAGCAUUUUCCAUCCCCAUAACUAAUUUAUUGAACCAAUCAAGAGAACAUGAGUUUCAAUGAUCAAUUCAAACAACCAAAGUGGAUCCAUCUCUUCAACUAGACUUUUCUCAUAUUGAAUUUCUCUUUUAUUUUAUUAUUACUUGCUCUUUUAAUUACUGUCCGUAGUUGUUAAUCAAAUCAAACCUCAAAACCCCCCUUUUUUUACUUUUGCUGCACUUUACUUUUGAUUCGCUUUCAGUUACUUGCUUUCAGUUUCUCAUUCAAUUAAUUCUCUUGGUCUUGUUGAGAAGAAUACAUAAGUUUACAAUUCUAUAUGGAUUCGAUCCUUUACCACUAUCUGCAGUUGUAAAAUUGUUUAUAACUGGAAAGGUUAUUUUUGACCGGCUUCGACAACCGAGAGUCAAAAAUUGGCGCCGUAGCCGGGGAAUUAUUCUAACUUGUUUAUUUUUCUUUCAUGACCAGAUCUGAACAUAAGGAUACUCUACCUUACGAUUCGGAAAUUGAACGCACCAUCAGGAGACUAGGAAAGCAAGCCACUGCGCUAGAACACCCAACUGAAGCCACACUUGCGCCUGAAGGAGCCUCUUGGACAUACCACCAUCUGAACACCACCGAAACACACCACCAAGCCGCACCAAUGGCUGAACCUAAUGCACAACAUGCUGCCCAAAAUGGACAUGCUGUCCAUGACCAAAUAAUUCAAGAAAAUCCAGCCUUUAGAGCUCUAAUGCCAAGAGAAAGGACCAUGAGAGAAUUGGCAACACCUGUAGGUGAUCAAGCGCCACUUUGCAUCACCUAUCCACCUCUGACAGUUCCCUUUGAACUGAAAACAAGUUUGAUUCAUCUUCUCCCUAAAUUUAAAGGUUUGCAAAAUGAAAAUCCACACAAGCAUUUGAAAGAGUUUAAUAUUGUUUGUUCAUCCAUGAGACCUCAAGGUAUUUCUGCAAGUCAUAUUAAGUUAAGAGCUUUUCCUUUUUCAUUAGAUGACUAUGCUAAAGAUUGGUUGUUUUAUUUGCCACCUGAAUCUAUAACUUCUUGGAAUGAUAUGGUCCAAACCUUUUUGAACAAAUACUUCCCAACAUCUAAGUCAAUUGGCAUACUAAGAGAAAUCACUAGCACAAGACAGAAACUAACUGAGGAUUUAUAUGAUUAUUGGGAAAGGUUUGAAAGACUGUGUACAGAUUGUCCACAAUAUGAUAUGUCAGACAGGUCUCUCAUACAUUUCUUCUAUGGGGGAUUGCUCUCAUCAGAAAGGAGAUUCAUAGAUGUAGCUUAUGGAGGAUCCAUUGCAGACAAGACACUUAGGGAGAUGCGAGAGUUGAUCUCCACACUUGCAGCCUCAUCUAGGCAAUAUGGAGAAGAAAAGCAACUGCAAAGAGGAAUCAAUAAGGUAAGUUCACCUACUAUUUCUGAACUGACAUAUGUUAUGAAAGAUUUUUCCAUAGGACUGGUUCAACAGAUUCAAACAUCCCAGCCACCUAGGCCAUGUGCUAUUUGUGCAUAUGUAGGACAUCCAACUGAUCAAUGUCCUACUCUUCAAGAAGACAACCAGCAAGUUAAUGCCAUUGGAGGAUAUAACAACCAGCCUAGACAUGAUCCAUAUUCCAACACUUACAACCCAGGUUGGAGAGACCACCCCAAUCUCAGCUAUGGAAGGGCUAACAACAAUCAGAACUAUCAUAACUAUCAAAGGAAUCAAGCCCAACCAGCACCUCCAAAUUCCAUCCAGCACCUUGAAAAGAUGAUGGAAACAAUGGUAAAUGCCAUGCAAGGCAUGUGACAGGACAUAGGACAACUGACUACAUCCAUGAGCAUAUCUGAAUCCCAAGGUAAGCUCCCUUCUCAAACUGAAACUAAUCCUAGAUAAAAUGUUAGUGCCAUUACUUUGAGAAGCGGAAAGGAGCUUCAAGAUGCCAGAUAUGAGGAAGAAAAGCAAGUUGCACAAGAGCCUGCACAACCUGAAGCCUCUCCUGCGCAAAGUGAAACACCUACGCAACCCCAUCUCCAUGAGCCAGCUAGCCGAGCUCCACCUGAAGCACCUCCUGCGCAGAAGACUGAUCAAAAGGUAAGCUUUCACAUUCCACCUCCUUUUCCAAAGAGAUUUGAAAGAACAUAAAAAGAAAAGGAAGAAAAGGAGAUCCUUGACACCUUUCGAAAGGUCCAGAUCAACAUACCUCUACUAGAUGCUGUUAAGCAGAUUCCAAGGUACGCAAAAUUUUUGAAAGAACUUUGCACCAAUAGAAGAAAGCUUGCUGAGAGAGAAAAAGUAAGUGUAGGUGAAGUUGUUACUGCUGUGAUUAAAAGAGAACUCCCUGCUAAAUGCAAAGACAAAGGUAUGUUUGCUAUUUCUUGCAAAAUUGGGAAUGUUGGUAUUAAGAAAGCUAUGUGUGAUCUUGGUGUAUCCAUCAAUGUUAUGCCUCUUUCCAUCUAUAAUUCUCUUAAUGCAUGUGCACUGAAAGACACAAGAGUUGUGAUUCAAUUAGCUGAUAGAUCUGUGGUAUAUCCCAUAGGUGUUCUAGAGGAUGUGUUAGUUCAAGUAGAUGAACUUGUCUUUCCUGCAGACUUUUAUGUGAUUGAUACUAAGGAAGAUAGUUGCAAUACUAGUUCUGACAUCCUUCUUGGACGUCCUUUCUUGAGUAUUGCUAGGACUAAGAUUGAUGUACAUGAUGGUACUUUGACUAUGGAGUUUGAAGGGGAAGUCAUUAAAUUUAAUGUCUAUGAUGCUAUGAAAUAUCCACAUUUAUGGUCUUGAUAUUGUUGACUAUUUGAGCCAGGAAAUUUUUGAUAAAAAUCAAGAUGAUAUUCUUAACAGUGAUUUCUGCAGAGAUACUGAUCAAGUACAGAUUGAGAGCCCGAAAGAGCCAAAACUUAAGGAAACAGUCUGUAGCAUCCAACAGGUAGUCUGCAGUCAAGCGCAGAAUAAAGGAUAGUUAGUCACACCACUUCAGGAAGGACCUGCGCAAACUGAAGCCAUGAUCUUUCGGCCGCCGAACUCCACUUCCUUUCGGCCGUCGAACUCUACUACCUUUCAGGCACCGAACUCUUCACCUCAGCUCCCAUCGCAGACUGAAACCAUCCUCAGUGCAGCUCUUCAUCCUCCCUUUCAGCCCAGUCCUGUACAAAGGGAAGCUUCUGAAUCUAGUUCUGCGCCACCUCCAUUGCAGUCAAUCCACGAGCAACACCUUUCAGAAUUUGAAGAAUGUAAGAAUGGCCUUCUUGAACAAAUCUUCCUUGCCCUAUCUGAUGAACCAUGGUACACAGACAUGGUGAACUACUUGGCUACAGGUAAUUUAUUUUCUGACAUGUCAAAGCACACCAAGGAUAAGAUAAAGAAAGAUGCCAAAUACUAUGUUUGGGAUGAGCCAUAUCUAUGGAAACAUUGUGCUGAUCAAAUGAUAAGGAUAUGUAUUCCUGACCAAGAAAUAUCUUCUGUGCUUACUUUUUAUCAUUCAUAUAGUUGUGGUGGACACUUUGGUCCAACAAAGACUGCUCAUAAGAUACUUGAAAGUGGCCUAUUCUGACCCACUAUUUUUCGAAAUGCUUUUCUGUCUUGCAGAUCAUGUGCUAGGUGCCAACAAAUAGGAAAUUUGAGCAAAAGAAAUCAAAUGCCACAGAACCCCAUCAUGGUCUGUGAACUAUUUGACGUGUGGGGCAUAGACUUCAUGGGCCCAUUCCCACCAUCCUUUGAAUACACUUACAUCAUCCUUGCAGUGCAUUAUGUGUCCAAGUGGGUGGAAGCUAGAGCAACUAAGACUGAUGAUGCCAAGGCAGUAGUAGACUUUGUGAAGACCGAUAUCUUUGCCAGACAUGGAGUACCAAAGGCAAUCAUCAGUGACAGAAGGACACAUAUUUUCAAUAAGGCAGUAGAAAGCCUUCUCAGAAAGCACAAUGUGAUUCAUAGAACAUCCACAGCAUACCACCCUCAGACAAAUGGGCAAGCUGAAGUGUCCAAUAGAGAAAUCAAGGCCAUCCUUGAAAAGACAGUAUCUCCCAAUCGGAAGGACUAGAGUACACGUUUGGAAGAUGCUCUAUGGGCCUACAAGACAUCUUACAAGACCCCCAUGGGUAUAUCCCUUUACAGAUUGGUCUAUGGGAAAGCUUGUCACCUUCCAGUUGAGCUUGAACACAAGGCCUAUUGGGCUGUAAAGAAUUGCAACAUGGACCUCAAAGAAGUUGGACAACAUCGCAAGUUGCAACUGCAAGAGCUAGAAGAAAUAAGACGAGAUGCUUAUGAGACUUCUUGGAACUACAAAGCAAAAACCAAAGCCUCCCAUGACAGUCAGCUUUCAAGAAAACAAUUUGAGGUUGGUGAUAAAGUCUUACUCUUUGACUCUCGUUUGAAAUUAUUUCCAGGAAAGCUACGGUCUAGGUGGAUUGGACACUUCAUUGUAGAACAUGCUUACCCACAUGGAGCUGUAGACAUUCGCAGUAUAGAGAUAGGAAAAAUCUUCAAGGUGAAUGGCCAUCGUCUAAAACCUUUCUAUGAAGGAUUUGCAGUGCAAGUAGUGGAAGAAAUUCCACUACAUCAACCAUCUCAUUCAGCCUAAGUGAUCGCACCAUGCACACCACACCCCAAGGGAGUACUCAGUUUCCUUUGUUCUUUUAUGUUUCUUAUACAUUGAGGACAAUGCAUGAUUUAGGUGUGGGGGUGCAUAUUUCUUCUCUUCUCCUUCUCUUCUUCCUCUUCUUUUCUUCUUCUUUUCCUCUCAGCCUGCGAAAUUGUUUUCAUUUUUUCCUUUCAGAAUUUGUGAUUUUUGCUUAUUCAGUUUUGCUUUCAGUUUUCCUUUAAAUUGUUUUCAUUUAUGCUUUCAAUAACACACACACAACCACAACCUUCUUCUUCUUCAUUUUGUUUUGCUCUACUCAAACUCAUGAACUAUGUUGGAUGACUUUUUCUUUCCAUGACCCCAUUAAUGUCAUGACUCUUUAAACUUAUGUUGAAUCAAUUGCAGUGAGUUAUAUUCAUGUUUGAGAAUUGCCUUUUGAAUUGAAUCUUUGAGUUUGCCAUGGUGAAAAAUAUAUUGAUGACACUCAUUAGAGAGAAUAAAUUGAAAUUGUGUGAAUGAACUUAACAUGACUUGCUUUAGUAAUUGGUGUUAAUUUGCCCAAAUCAUUGAGAGAAAGAAAAUUCAGCAAAGGCAAAGACCUCAUAAGCUCAAAUUCAAAAACUGUUCCAAUGGUCAAAAGACUAUGAACAGAGCUAGUAACCACUUGGACAGGUGACCAACUGAGUAACUGGGGGUGGGUAUCACAAAUAUGUACCUUCGCGUCAAAAGGUUGGUGACUUUUUCAAGCAAAAUUAAAGUGCAAAAAGCUGAAUAAAGUACUUCAAGGUAAGGGCAAGUCACUCUGAAAGCUAAAAAGAGUAUGAUCUGAACAAAUAAUAUGUGCAUGUAUGAUCUCUCUCUUUAGUAAAACGAAUCCUAGCCGUGGUAAGUAAAGGGAAACAAGGAAAGAAGCUGAGUAAUCUUCAUGCCUAUAUUCUUCACUGUAAUGAUUCAAAAUAGGUGUCUUGAGAAAGAGCUUAAGUGGAAAUAAGGAUCAAGUAGCAAAGAAAGCUUAUUUGACUAUGUUUAUUUGCUUGAGGACAAGCAAAAGGCUAGGUGUGGGGGUAAUUGAUAGAGCAUAUUUUAGUCCUUUUUAUCUUGAUAUUAUUGAUGAUUAUUUACAUGAUUUCUGCUUAAUUUAGUGCUCUUGGCAUUGUUUUGCAGAAAAUGGUGUAAAAUGAUAUUUUGGAGAAAAUCCCCCUAAAACUGCCUUAAAUGGAGCAAAGGAGAGCAAGCCUGCCAAGUUGAAAUCAAGUCAAGCAAAAUAAGGAAAGUUCUAAAUAAGGAAAGUGGCAAAUAUGGAAAAAACAUUCAGCCAAGUCAAUUUGAAAUUCAAAUUUCAAAUCUCCAAGUAGCCUUUUCCUUAUUCAAGAAGCCAAAUCGGAAGUUGCCAUAUGUGAAGAGCCAAAUAAGGAAAAUAUUUUGAAAUUCAAAUCUUCAAGAUUCAUAUUCAAAUUUUGAAUUUCAAAAUCCAGCUUAUUAAGGAAGCUAAAUCCAAAGAUCACAUGCUUGUCACCACAUGCCUUGCACAUUCAAAAUUCAAAUUGCAAAGGGGCUCCACCUUCUUUAUUAGUGCAUGGGCGGCAAGGAGAGUGUGAAGGCAAGUCUUCGGCACCUUGGGCAGCAUCUUAAAGAUAUUUGGGCAGCAAACAAAGACCAAAAGACCCACUCUUGCACAAGCCACACAUGCCCCACGUUUUUUCCUUAACACAUGUGCAUGGAUGGCACAUCUUGGACCAAGGGCAUUUUGGGCAGCCUUUAAAAACGUGGGCAGCCAUUUAAAACCCUAAGACAGCACCUUAGAACAUAUUUAAAGACCUCAAAGAGGCCAUCCAAGGCAGAUUAGGACAGCAACUCAUCAACACACCAUUUGGCCAAGGCUCUCCAAGGCUUCUCCACUUCGGUUCUUCAUCUUCUUGCUUUCUUUUCUUUUAUUUUCUGUUUUGGUUCAGCCAUGAGUGGCUGAAACCUUUUAUUCUAGUUGAAGAUUGGUUGAAACUAAGGUUGUUUUAUGGAUUGUGAGAUCUGAACAUAAACUAUUUGUCUUUGAUUAGUUCAAUAUUCAUACAAUUGUGUGCUUGAAUCUAAGAUUGCUUUGUUGUUUUUGAUCAAAUUGGCCACUUGAUUCUUGAUUGCAAGGUAAUUGAUUAUUAGUUGGGAUAAUUUUUAGUCCGUAAUUGCUGGAAUUAUUCUGACCUAAGAACACUUGGUGUAAAAACUAAGGAAUUGUAUGAUCUAGCAACAUCUCAUGCCUUUGAGUAGUUAGGAUUGGAUCUCUCUAUUUCUUCAUGCAAUUGACAAUUGUUUUGAUGCCUAAGGCCCAAGGACGUUCUUCGCAAUUUGUUAAUUAGUAAUUGAUUAGAAGACGUUCCCUAAUUAAUUUAAUCAUAAGGAGAGACAUGGUGGUGAGAAGCGUUUUCCAUCCCCAUAACUAAUCUAUUGAACCAAUCAAGAGAAGGUGAGUUUCAAUGAUCAAUCCAAACAAUUAAAGUGGAUCCAUCUCUUCAACUAGACUUUUUUCAUAUUGAAUUUCUCUUUUAUUUUAUUAUUACUUGCUCUUUUAAUUGCUGUCCGUAGUUGUUAAUCAAAUCAAACCUCAAAACCCCCUUUUUUUUACUUUUACUGGACUUUACUUUUGAUUCGCUUUCAGUUACUUGCUUUUAGUUUCUCAUUCAAUUAAUUCUCUUGAUCUUGUUGAGAAGAAUAGAUAAGUUUACAAUUCUCUGUGGAUUCGAUCCUUUACCACUAUCUGCUGUUGUAAAAUUGUUGAUAACCGAAAAUGUUAUUUUUGACCAGCCAUGCAUUGAUAAAUUCAAAUUAUAUUUUUGAUUGAUAAAUUCAAAUGAUAUUGAUCACACUAUCAAUUCAUUUGAGCACGGCCAUGCAUUUCUCAGCCUCACUUAUCGAGGGGCCCAGAAGAUAUCUCUCUCAUAGAGAGGGACAAAUCCUAUAUUGAUUGUUCAUUAUCCUCUACAUAAUUUCUAUCAUGCUCAAUCAUAACCUUUAUGAUUGUCCGAUUAAAGAUAACAUUUGGUUAUGUCAAAACAUAAUAGUCCUUAUGUUGGAAACUAUGACAAUCUCAAGUCAAAGAAUUAAGAUAUAACUACUUUGAGAUUCACUUAUGACAAUGACCCAUGUAGUGAUCUCAAUGCGGGUCCAUCCAAUACUUUGCUCUCUAACAAGUAUUUAUGAUUAUUAAAUUAUAUCAACAUAUACAUAAUCAUCUCAUGAUUAUUAAUCAAUAAUCAUACCAGUUAUAUUUUAUUAUUAUCAACAUAAUAAUAAGUAACCAGGGAUGAUAAUCAUUAUUAUGUAACAUGCAAACAAAUAAUAAUGACAAAAACAUCUUUUAUUAAUAACCAAAACGACAUACAAAAAGGUCCAAGAUAAUGGCCUAGGGCAUAUACACUAACAAUCUCCCACUUGCACUAGGCCUAAUCAUAUAAUUGUCUAAUACCCAUAGACCUGGUGUGCUGAUCAUGCUUGACCUGUGGAAGAGGCUUGGUCAGUGGAUUUGCAAUGUUGUCAUUUGUGUCUACUUUGCAUAUUUUGAUAUCUCCUCUAUCAAUGAUCUCUCAAAUAAGGUGAUAUCACCUGAGUAUAUGUUUAGAUCUCUGGUGAGAUCUGGGCUCCUUUGCUUGUGCUAUGGCACCGUUAUUAUCACAAUAAAGGUCCAUAGGUUUUGCAAUGCUGGGAACCAUUCCCAACUCUGAGUUGAAUUCCUUCAACCAGACUGCCUUUUUAGCUGCAUCUAAUAUUGCUAUAUACUCAGCUUCUAUUGUAGAAUCUGCUAUAGUGCUCUGCUUGGAACUUUUCCAACUAACAACUCCAUCAUUUAAAGUGAAUACGAAUCCUGACUGCGAUCUGAAGUCAUCUAUGUCGAUUUGGAAACUAGCAUAUGUGUAACCACUUACAACUAGCUCGUUUUACAAUCCUCCAUAAACUAGGAAUGCAUCCUUAGUCCUUCUAAGGUACUUUAAGAUAUUCUUAACAGCUGUCUAGUGACUUUCACAGGGAUCUGCUUGAUAUCUGCUUGUUGUGCUCAAGGCAUAUGAGACGUUUGGUCUAGUACAUAACAUGGCAUACAUGAUAGAUCCAAUAGCAGAAGCAUAAGGGAUCUUAUUCAUCCGUUAUCGCUCAUCAGAUGUCAUAGGACAUUGAUUCUUGCUGAGAUGAAUACCGUGAGACAUGGGCAAGAAUCCUCUUUUGGAGUCUUGCAUGCUGAACCUUUUGAGCACUUUGUUAAUAUAAGUACUUUGACUCAGACCGAUUAUCCUCUUGGAUCUAUCCCUAUAGAUCUUAAUACCAAGGAUAUAUGCGGCCUCACCUAAGUCCUUCAUUGAAAAAUAAUUUCCUAACCAAGUCUUAACCUUUUGCAAGGUAGGGAUAUCAUUUCCAAUGAGUAAUAUGUCAUCCAUAUAUAGGACUAGAAACACAACUGCAAUCCCACUAACCAUCUUGUAAACACAAGGUUCAUCUUCAUUUUUUAUGAAUCCAAAGUCCCUGACUGUUUCAUCAAAACGAAGAUUCUAGCUUCGAGAAGCUUGCUUCAAUCCAUAAAUGGAUCUCUGAAGCUUGCAAAUCUUUCCAGAAUUCUCAAGGAUUACAAAACCCUUAGGUUGUGUCAUGUACACAUCCUCGAGCAAAAGUUCACGAUUGUCAGUCAUGAGAAAUCCAUAUCUCUUAGGCUGAUGACGUGUCCUAUCAGAUCUGCAUGGGACUUGUGUCACCCUUUCAGUUUCCAUAACUAUUCGUGGUUCUGGAAGUGGUUCUACCAAUGGUUCAAUGCUCUCUUGGGGUUCUUAAGUUUCCUCAAGUCGCACUGUACUCCCACUGAAUCUCUGAGAGAUAAAUUCCUUUUCCAAAAAGGUAUCAUUUCGAGCAACAAACACUUUGUUCUCUGAGAGAAUAUAGAAACAGUAUCCUUUGGUUUCCUUAGGAUACCCCACAAAAAUAAUCAUCAAUAAUAUCAAGAUAAAAUGGACUAAAAUAUGUUCUAUCAAAUACCCCCACACCUAGCCUUUUGCUUGUCCUCAAGCAAAUAAACAUAGUCAAAUAAGCUUUCUUUGCUACUUGAUCCUUAUUUCCACUUAAACUCUUACUCUAGACACCUAUUUUGAAUCAUUGCAGUGAAGAAUAUAUGCAUGAAGAUUACUCACCUUCUUUCCUUGUUUCCCUUUACUUACCAUGGCUAGGAUUUGUUUUACUUAAGAGAGAGAUCAUACAUGCACAUAUUAUUUGUUCAAAUAAGAGUAUUUUUAGCUUUCAGAUUGACUUGCCCUUACCUUGAAGUACUUUAUUCAGUCUUUUGCACUUAGCUCUUGCUUGAAAAAGUCACCAACCUUUUGACAUGAAGGUACAUAUUGGUAAUACCCACCCCCAGUUACUCAGUUGGUCACUUGUCCAAGUGGCUACUAGCUCUGUUCAUAGUCUUUCAACUAUUGGAACUAGUAGGUGAACUAGUAGGUGAAAGCAAAAAUCGCAUGAACUGAAACAAGUAAAAAUCGCAAAUGUGGAAGAGAAAAUGAAAAAAAAAAUUUCGCAGACUGAAAGGAAAAGAAGAAGAAGAAGAGAAGAAGAAGAAGAUAAAAUAAGAAGAGAAAGGGAUAUGCACCCCCACACCUAAAUCAUGCAUUGUCCUCAAUGUAUAAGAAACAUAAAAGAACAAAGGAAACUGAGUACUCCCCUGGGGUGUGGUGUGCGUGGCAUGAUCACUUAGGCUGAAUGAGUGACAAACAGAUGUUCGUCUGGAAAUUCUUCCUUGACUAGACAAGGUGUAUAGCUAGAUGGAAGCCGGCUAAGGUGGUCGGCUAUAAGAUUUUCUUUCCUUUUCUUGUCUCUUAUCUCCAUAUCAAAUUCUUGUAACAACAGAAUCUACCGAAUGACUUUGGUUCCCAAGAGAUAUGGUCUAAAUUUCUCUAAAGCAAAUACAACAGCUAAGAGCUCCUUUUCUGUUGUUGUGUAGUUGCUUUGUGUAGCAUCCAAUGUGCGAGAGGCAUAGUGAAUGACGUGCGGUGAGUUUCCCACACGUUGCCCCAAGACUGCUCCUACAACAUGGUUGCUUGCAUCACACAUGAUUUCAAAAGGCAGGUUCCAGUCAGGUGCCUGAAUAAUUGGAGCAGUCACAAGCAAUUCUUUAAUCAGAUCAAAUGCCUUUUUGCAAUAUGCAUCAAAAUCAAAUGUUACAUCCUGUUGGAGCAAUUUACAUAAUUGCAAUGUAAUUUUAGAGAAAUCUUUGAUGAAUCUUCUAUAGAACCCUGCAUGGCCAAGGAAUGAUCGAAUUUCUUUAACAUUUGUAGGGUAAGGUAGAUUUUUAAUUGUGUCUACCUUAGCCUUGUCUACCUCAAUUCCUUUAGCUGAAACAACAUGUCCUAAAACCAUACCUUGAUUAACCAUAAAAUGACAUUUUUCAUAAUUCAGUACAAGGUUAGACUCAAGGCAUCUCUGUAGGAUCUUUUCCAAGUUGGCAAGGCAUUCUUCAAAGGAGUUGCCAUGCACUGUGAAAUCAUCCAUGAACACUUCAACUGUCUUACCCACAUAGUUAGAGAAUAUGCUCAUCAUGCAUCGCUGAAAGGUGGCAUGUGCAUUGCAUAGUCCAAAUGGCAUUCUUCUAAAGGUAAAAGUGCCAAAAGGACAAGUGAAGGUGGUCUUCUCUUGGUCCUCUGGGGCAACUGAAAUCUGAUAAAAACCUAAAUAACCAUCAAGACAACAGUAAUGGGACUUACCUGCAAGCCUUUCUAGCAUCUGAUCAAUGAAAGGUAGUGGAAACUGGUCUUUCCUUGUUUCUAGCAUCAGAUCUCACAAUCCAUAAAACAACCUUAGUUUCAACCAAUCUUCAACUAGAAUAAAAGGUUUCAGCCACUCAUGGCUGAAACAAAACCAAAAAUAAAAGAAAAGAAGAAGAAGAUGAAGAGAAGAUGGAGCCGGAUGAGAGGUUUGCGCAGAUGGUGUUGCAAAAACGUGGUUGGAGGAUCGGCUGGCCUUUAAGGAUUCUUUAAAUAGGUUUUAGAUGCUGACCUUGCUGCCCUAGAGGUAUUUGCUGUCCAAGUUGAGUCAAAAAAGGAAAGAUUCGCGUUCCAAAAUUAUUUAAAAGGAAAGAGGCGUACGCUUGCUCUUUAGAUGGAGAGUGGCACACGGAAUGGCUUCAAAAGGUAAGAGUGUGCUGUCCAAGAUUUUACUUGCUGCCCAAGUGUCUUCAAGAUGCUGCCCAAGAGGUACUUGCUGCCUAAGUUGUGUCCGAAAAGGAAAGAAUCGCAUUGAAUGGACUGUAGAGGUAAGGUGGCGCGCGGAUGCUCUUCAGAGAGAAGGUGGUCGCGCGGCAUGCAUGUGCAGAAGGGAAAGUGAAUCUAUCCAGUCUUUCCUUUAUGCUAAACGCAGAAGAGGCAAGUGCGUCUUCAUGAAAUCUUGCUGCCUAAAAAAUCGCAUGAACUGAAAUAAAAGAAAUCGCAUUAACUGAAACAAAAGAAUCGCAUGAACUGAAACAAAAGAAAAAGCAUAGAACUGAAACAAAAGAAUCGCAUGAAUUGAAACAAAAAAGCAUAGAACUGAAGAGGCAACUGAAAGCAAAAAAAUCACAUGAACUGAAACAAAAGAAAGCAAAAAUCGCAAAUCUGAAAGGAAAAAGAAAAAAUUUCGUAGAACUGAAAGGAAAAAUUGCGAGACUGAAAGGAGAAGAAGAAGAAAAGAAGAAGAAGAAAAGAAGGAGAAGAAGAGAGGUAUGCACCUCCACACCUAAAUCAUGCAUUGUCCUCAAUGUAUAAGAAUCAUAAAAGAACAAAGAAAACUGAGUACUUCCCUGGGAUAUGGUGUGCAUGGUGUGAUCACUAGGCAGAUUGAGAUGGAUGAUGUAGUGGAAUUUCUUCCACCACUUGUACUGCGAAUCCUUCAAAGUAUGGCUUCAGACGAUGCCCAUUCACCUUGAAGAUUUUUCCAGUCUCUAUGCUUCGGAUGUCUACAGCUCCAUGGGGAUAAGCAUGCUCUACAAUGAAUGGUCCAAUCCACCUAGACCGUAGCUUUCCUGAGAACAAUUUUAAACAAGAGUCAAAGAGUAAGACUUUAUCACCAACCUCAAAUUGUUUUCUUGAAAUCUGACUGUCAUGGAAGGCUUUGGUUUUUACUUUGUAGUUUCAGGAGGUCUCAUAUGCAUCUCAUCUUAUUUCCUUUAGCUCUUGCAGUUGCAACUUGCGAUGGUGUCCAUCUUCCUUAAGGUCCAUGUUGCAAUUCUUUACAACCCAAUAUGCCUUGUGUUCAAGUUCAACUGGAAGAUGGCAAGCUUUUCCAUAGACCAAUCUGUAAGGGGACAUACCUAUGGGAGUCUUGUAGGCUAUUAUGUAUGCCCAUAAGGCAUCUUCUAGACGUGCACUCCAGUCCUUUCGGUUGGGGGACACUGUCUUUUCUAGGAUGGCCUUGAUUUCUCUGUUGGACCUUCAGCUUGUCCAUUUGUCUAUGGGUGGUAGGCUGUGGAUGUUCUAUGGAUCACAUUAUGCUUUUUGAGAAGGCUUUCCACUACCUUGUUGCAAAAAUGGGUCCCUCUAUCACUGAUGAUUGCCUUUGGUACUCCAUGUCUGGCAAAGAUGUUGGUCUUCACAAAGUCUACUACUGCUUUUGCAUCAUCAGUCUUUGUUGCUCUAGCUUCCACCCAUUUGGAUACAUAAUCCACUGCAAGGAUGAUGUAGGUAUAUCCAAAGGAUGGUUGGAAUGGGCCGAUGAAGUCUAUGCCCACACAUCAAAUAUCUCACAGACCAUGAUGGGAUUCUGUGGCAUUUGAUUUCUGUUGCUCAGAUUUCCAGUCUGUUGACACCUAGCACAUGAUCUGCAAAACAUAAAAAGCAUCUCGAAAAAUAGUGGGCCAAAAUAGGCCACUUUCAAGUAUUUUAUGUGCAGUCUUUCUUGGACCAAAGUGUCCACCACAACUAUAUGAAUGACAAAAAGUGAGAACUGAAACUAUUUCUUGGUCUGGGAUACAUCUCCUUAUCAUUUGGUCAGCACAAUGUUUCCACAAAUACGGCUCAUCCCAAACAUAGUAUUUGGCAUCUUUCUUUAUCUUAUCUUUGGUGUGCUUUGGCAUAUCAGAAGGCAAGUUACCUGUGGCUAGGUAGUUUACCAUGUCUGCGUACCAUGGCUUAUCAGAUUGGGCAUGGAAGAUCUGUUCAAAGAAGCCAUUCUCACAUUCUUCAUAUUCUGAAAGGUGUUGCAAGGGUGUCUGUGUGGACUGUCUGGCAGAACUAGUUUCAGGAACAUCCUUUUGCGCAGGACUUGACUGAAAGGGAGGACCGGUCUGCAUUGGAAGCUGAAAGGACGCGCUUGAGAGGCUUUCAGGUGCCUCUUUCUGCGCAGGAAUGGUUUGCACACCAUUCUGGAGUGGUGCAACUGGUUUUUGUACUUUCUGUAGUUGUCUGCAGUUCACCUGCUGUAUGCUGCAGACUGUUUCCUUCAGUUUUGGCUCUUUCUGGCUCUCUAUCUGUACCUAGUCAGUAUCCCUGCAAAAUUCAUUGUUCAGAAUAUCAUCUUAAUUUUUAUCAAAAAUCUCCUGGCUCAAGCAGUCAACAAUAUCAAGACCAUAAAUAGGGGACAUAUCAUAUGGAUAUUUCAUAGCAUCAUAGACAUUAAAUUUAAUGACUUCCCCUUCAAACUCCAUAGUCAAUGUACCAUCAUGCACAUCAAUCUUAGUCCUAGCAGUACUCAAGAAAGGACGUCCAAGAAGGAUGUCAGAACUAGCAUUGCAACUGUCCUCCUUAGUAUCAAUCACAUAAAAAUCUACAGGAAAGAGAAGUUCAUCUACUUGAACUAACACAUCUUCUAGAACACCUAUGGGAUAUACCACAAAUCUAUCAGCUAAUUGAAUCACAACUCUUGUGUCUUUCAGUGCACAUGCAUUCAAAGAAUUAUAGAUGAAGAGAGGCAUAACAUUUAUGAAUGCACCAAGAUCACACAUGGCUUUCUUAAUUCCAACAUUCCCAAUCUUUCAAGAAAUAGCAAACAUACCUUUAUCUUUGCAUUUAGUAUGGAGCUCUCUUUUAAUUAUAGCAGUAACUACUUCACCUACACUUACUUUCUCUCUCUCAGCAAGCUUUCUUCUAUUGGUGCAAAGCUCUUUCAGAAAUUUUGCGUACCUGGGAAUCUGCUUAACAGCAUCUAGCAGAGGUAUGUUGAUUUCCACUUUUCUGAAAGUCUCCAAGAUCUCCUUUUCUUCUUUUUCUUUCUGAGUUCUUUCAAAUAUUUUUGGAAAAGGAGGUGGGAUCUGAAAAUGUACCUGGUGAUCAGCUUUCUGCGCAGGAGGUGUUUCAGAUGGAGCUCGGCUAACCAGCUCAUGCAAGUGGUGCGCGGUCUCAAAUUGCGCAGGGGUGGUCUCAGAUUGUGCAGGCUCUUGUGCAACUUGCUUCUCUUCCUCAUAUCUCACAUCUUGAAGCUCCUUUCCACUUCUCAAGGUAAUGGCACUAACAUUCUGUCUAGGAUUAGUUUCAGUUUGAGAAUGGAGCUUACCUUGGGAUUCCAGUUAGCUUAUGGAGGUGGCCAUUUGUCCCACUUGCUGUUGGAGGCUUUGCAAAGUCUUAACUACCUCAUCAAGAGUAUUAUUGGAACUUGGAGGUGCUGGUUGAGCUUCAUUUCUUUGGUAGCUCUGAUAGUUCUGGUUGUUGUUGGCCCUUCCAUAGCUGAAAUUGGGGUGGUCUCUCCAACCUGGAUUAUAAGUGUUAGAAAAUGGAUCAUGUCUUACCUGGUUGUUGUAUCCUCCAAUGGCAUUCACUUGCUGGUUAUCCUCUUGCAGUGUAGGACAUUGAUCAGUUGGGUGUCCUACAUAUGCACAGAUCCCACAUGGCCUAGUUGGCUGGGCUUGUUGAGGUUGGCCUAUGAAGAAAUUUGUCAUGGCAGAGGUUACCGCAGAAAUUUGAGAGGAAAGAUUAGAUGUACUUACCUCGUUAGCUUCUCUCUACAGUUGCUUUUCUUCUCCAUAUUGCCUAGAUGAGGCUGCAAGUGUUGAGAUCAGUUCUCUCAUCCCCCUAGGUGUCUUGUCUAUAAUAGAGCCUCCACAGGCUACAUCAAUGAAUCUCUUUUCUGAAGAAACCAGGCCUCCAUAGAAGAAUUCUAUGAGUGCCUUAUCUGAAAUCUCAUGUUGAGAACAACCUGUACACAACCUUUUAAAUCUUUCCCAAUAAUCAUAUAAGUCUUCAGAUGGUUUCUGUCUAAUGCUUGAGAUUUCUCUUCUUACACCAAUAGCCUUAUGAGUUGGGAAAUAUUUAUUUAAGAAAGUUGUUACCAUGUCAUCCCAGGAAGUAAUAGAUCCAAGUGGUAAGUAAAAUAGCCAAUCCUUAGCAUAAUAAUCAAGUGAAAAAGGAAAAGCUCUUAACUUAACAUGAUCUUCAGAAAUACCUUGAGGUCUCAUAGAUGAACAGACAAUAUUGAAUUCUUUCAAGUGCUUGUGUGGACUUUCAUUCUCUAGACCUCUAAACUUAGGGAGAAGAUGGAUCAAACCUGUUUUCAGCUCAAAGGGAACUGUCAGAGGUGGAUAGGUGAUGCAAAGUGGUUCUUGAUCACCUACAGGUGUUGCCAAUUCUUUAAUGGUUAUUUCUCUUGGCAUUGGAGCUCUCAUAGCUGGAUUUUAGUGCAUAAUCUCUUCAUGGACAGCAUGUUGAUUGUGGACAGCAGGUUGUGCCAUGUUUUUUGCCAUAUCAGGAACUUGGUGGUGCCAUCUGGUGGUUUCAGAUGGAGGUUCUGCGCAACAAGGCUCUUUAGGUGAUGGGUCUGCGCAAGAAAGUGUUUCAGGCACAGGGUUGAUGGUGACUUGCUUGCUCAGUCUCCUGAUGGUGCGUUCAAUUUUCGGAUCGUAAGGCAGAGUGUCCCUACGUUCAGAUCUGGUCAUGAAAGAAAAAUAAAUAAGCCAAGUCAACUCCCCAGCAACGACGCCAAUUUUUGACUCGCGGGUGUCGAAGCCGGUAAAAAAUAACCUUUCCGGUUAUUAACAAUAUUACUACUGCAGAUAGUGGUAAAUGAUCGAAUCCACAGAGAAUGGAAAACUAAUAUAUUUUUCUCAACAAGUCCAAGAGAAUUAACUGAAAGCGCAACUGAAAGUAAGUAAUUGAAAGCAGAAUAAAAAUAAAGUGCAAUAAAAGUAAAAUGGGGGGGUUUGAGAUUGAUUUGAUUAGCAACUACUAAAAGCAAUUAAAUAAGCAGAAUAUGAAAAAUAAAAGGGAAUAUCAAUAUGAGAAAGGUCUAGUUGAAGAGAUGCAUCCACUUUGGUUUUUUGGAUUGAUCAUUGAAACUUACGUUCUUUUGAUUGAUUCAAUAGAUUAGUUAUGGAGAUGGAAAAUGCUUCUCACCACCAUGUCUCUCCUUAUGAUUAAACCAAUUAGGGAAUGUCCUCUAAUUAAUUACUAAUUAACAAAUUGCCAAGGAACAUCCUUGGGCCUUAGACAUCAAACAAUUGUUAAUUGCAUGAAGAAAGAGAGAGAUCCAAUCCUAACUAUUCAAACGCAUGAGAUGUUGCUACAUCAUACAAUUCCUUAGUUGUUACACCAAGUGUUCUUAUAUUUGAACAAUUCAAGCAAUUACGGACUUAAAAUUAUCCAAACUAACAAUUAAUUACCUUGCAAUAAAGACUCAAGUGGCCAAUUUGACCAAAACAACAAAGUAAUAAUAGAAUUCAAGCAUGAACUGUAUGAAUAUUGAAUAACCAAAAGACAAACAAUAUGUGUUCAGAUCUCACAAUCCAUAAAACAACCUUAGUUUCAACCAAUCUUCAACUAUAAUAAAAGGUUUCAGCCACUCAUUGUAAUACUCGGCUAGAUUUCGGCAUCGGAAUCCCUACCUUCUGGCGGAAUCUCCGUUGGAAUCUGGAAUUCUGAAGAUGCCAGAGUCUUCUAGAAGGGUAAAAUGUGUUUCUAAAAUGUUUUCACAUGAUUUUAUGGUUUUAAAUGAAAAAGAAAUGAGUUUUGAAAAGAAUAGGCCAAGGAGGAAGGACCCAGGUUCGGCCGCCGAACAUGGGGCUGUUUCGGGAGUGCUUUAGGCCUCCGAAGGCUUUGAGGGAAGAAACCAGGUUCGGCCGCCAAACCUCAAGUUUGGCCGCCGAACAUGGGAUAGUUUAGGAGGCAUGUUAGGCUGCCGAAGGUGGUGAGGUUGUGGAAGCAGCUUAGGCCGCCGAAGGUGGUUGACCGACUACCUAUAAAAGGCUCCUCAGACCGAAAAUGGGCGAGUUUUCUCCCCAUUCUCGAGCUAAGGUGAGUUCAUGUCCUCCUUUGAUCGAUUUCAUGUUCUUUCUUCAAAUCUUUCAAAGUUUUAACAAGUUUUACCUUGGGUUUUGAAGUUGUGAGCUUAAGAUCAAGAUUUGGGAGCUUGAAGACCCAAGGAGCUAGAUUUCUCCCAUCUCCAAGUUAGGGAUCGCACCAACCCUCGAUCUUCAAGAGGUAAGUGUAUAUCCACACCCUUUUCUUUGUUUUAAGCAAGUUUUAAGAAGUUUUAAUGCUUGUGUGAGGGUAGAUGUGCAUGUUUAGGUUUAUGUGGGUUUUAUGCUCAAUGUAUGUUUAUAUGAUGUUUUGUUGGGUGGUUUAAGCUAGUUAUGCCCUAUAUGCAUGAGGGAGUGUGUUUGCAUGUUUGGGAGAGAGCAUGUGAGGUUUUGGGUUGUUUUGGAAGGUUUGGAGGUUGUUUGUGCAUGAGGAGGCUGAGUUCUGCCUUUCUGGAAGAACUCAGGUUCGGCAGCCGAAGGGACUUUCAGCCGCCGAACCUGCCUGUGGUGGCUUGUUUUGGCUGUCGAACCCUGCCCCCGAAAGCUGGACUUUCAGCUCUAGAGGAGAGUUUCGGCCGCCGAAAGUGCCGCCGAACAUGCAUGAGUUUCGGCUCUGGAACCACUUUCGGCCGCCGAAGGUGCCGCCGAAAGUGGCUGAGUUUCAGCUCAGGAGGGACUUUCGGCCGCCGAACCUGCCGCCGAAAGUACCCUGUUCAGCCUUCCUAUGCAUGGUUCCUAUGAUUGUUUUAUGAUGCUUUAGGAGGUUUUUGGGGAGAUGUUUAGAGUCCUUUUAGAGUAUGUUUGGUCCCUCAUUUGAGUCCACCUGUGUAGGAUCGGACCUGAGGAACCGAGGUGAUCAGCAGUGAGUUAGCUGCUUUAGAGUUAGUAAGCAUCAGCCAGAGGUGAGUAGAACAUAACUCUUUUAUAUUAAAGAAAUCAAAUGUUUUAAGCAUGUUCAUGCAUCAUGAAUACUAUGUUAUGUAAUAGGUUGAUUGCAUUUGAAUUCACGAAUAUGUUGCAUUGCAUAAUUUGAUGAUGAUGAUGUGGAUGGAUAUUGUAAUACCCAGCUAGAGUCCGGCAUCGAAAUUCUUGUCGUCCGGUAGAAUCCAGGAUGUCGGCAUCUUUAGCGGGUAAGAUUUUUGGUUUUCUAAAGUAAUGUAGUAUGUUUUAAGGUUUUGAAGUUAAAAUGAAAAGAGUUUUUGAAAGAAAAGAACCAAGGCAGAAAAGCCAGGUUCGGCCGCCAAAGGUGACAUUCGGCCGCCGAACAUGCAUGGCUUUCGGUUUCAUGAUAGGCCGCCGAAGGUGGUCUGGCCAACCACCUAUAAAAGGCCCUCAGUCGGUUGAACGGAUAAGUACUGCCGUUUCUUUCAUUUUCUGAGGUGAAACCCUGUCCUUCUUAAGUUUUCUUCAUGUUUUCAUUACAUCAUGCAAAGAUUUGAUUGAUUUUUAUGUUAUUUUGAAGGUUUUGAGCUAAAAAUACAAAGUUGUGAAGUUUGGAGAGUUUGAAGGAGAGUGGCUCCAAAACUCCACGUUGGGAUCAUUCAUCUUCUUGUUUUCAAGAGGUAAGUGAAGAUCCUGAGCUUGUUUUCAUGUUUUCUGAAGGUUUUAGAAGGUUUUGGGUAGAGUUGCAUGAAUAGGGUAAAAAGUGAGGUUUUUGGUGUUUUGUUGAUAAAAGCAUGUUUAUGUGUUAUAUGUUUUGUGUUGUUGGGGUUUUAAGAUAGUUUCUGACCCCUUUGAGCAUAUACUUGGGUGUAUGCAUGUUGAGGAAUUGAGGUGUUUGAGUUGGAGGAAGAUUGAUGCAUUUUGGCAUGAGGCAGAGCAAGGUUCUGCCUUGCUGAUGAACCCAGCUUCGGCCGCCGAAGAAAGGUUCGGUCGCCGAAUGUGCUGAGGAGGUGGCUUCGAUUGCCCAAGCUUGCCCCCGAGCUUUUGGACUUUCGGCUCUGGAGGGGAGGUUCGGCCGCCGAAGGUGCCGCCGAAGGUUAGAGACUUUCGUCUCUGGAGUGCCUUUCAGCCCCCGAAACUUGCCCCCGAAAGGGUUCGGCUGCCGAAAGUUGAGAUUCGGCCGCCAAAGGUGCAUGAGUUUCGGCUCUAGAGAGGGCUUUCGGCCAUCGAACCUGCCGCCGAAAGUGUUUUAUUCAGCCUUCCUUUGCAUACUUUGCAUGGAUGUUUGAGUGAGUUUUAGGGGAGUCUUGGAGAAUUUAAUAGAGUUAUUCAUAAGCUAGUUUGGUCCCUCAUUUGAGUUUAUCUGUGCCUACACAGACCAGAGGAACCAGAGAGAGCAGCAGUGAGUACUGCUCCAGUGUGUACAGAGCCUCCAGAGUCAGUUUAGAUAGCCAGAGGUGAGUGGAACUAAACUUAAUUCUUUUAAUUGAGAAAUGGAAUGUUUUUUAGCAUAUUUCAUGCAUCAUGGUUAUGCAGUAGGUUGAUUGCAUUAGAAUCCACGAAUAUGUUGCAUUGCAUAGUUAUUUGUUGAUGUGGGUGAAUGCUGAAUGAUCCAAUAGUCACUAAGAUAAGUCCAGGAGCCUUUGACUAUGCCCUGGCAGGUAUAGAAGUCCAGGAGCCUUUGACUACGCCCUGGCAGGUAUAGUAAAGUCCAGGAGCCUUUGCCUACGCCCUAGCAGUGGUAAGUACAGGUGUUAUAUACAUAUAUACAUAUAUGAGACAGGAAAUCCAGGUGCCUUUGACUACGCCCUGGUAUGAGAUACUGGGACUAUUUGGUGACAGGUUUACCCUUGAUGUGGAUUGUCUGUGUUAUGAUGCAUUCUGUAACGACCCGAAAACCGGUACCCCUCAGUAACGGUCCGAACCAUCACUGGCACUAGGAUCCAGAUCGGCUUAAGGCCACCGGGACCCGUAGUUAGCCAACUAUACUUGCUGUGUACCUGAUAAAUCCCAUACAUGAUACAGUACGACUCAACAAUCCUGGAAAACUCUGUAGGCUUAACUACUGCUACUCAGAUAUGUCAAUCUAGAAUGACCCUCAGGGCCUAUACCAGGGACUACCAUCUGCUGUGGCUUAAGGGAUUGAAACCCUUUUAAAUCUGUAACACAUCCCACUGGUAUCUCAUCCAAGCCAUGCAUUAAGCCUAACUCACACAUUUCUCAUCAAGAAACGUAAAACAGGAUUCAUGUACAAGGGAUUAAUCAUACAUCACACUGUAGCAAUGACACUAGGGAAAGCAUAAGUCUAUCCAGGAUAUGACAGUACAUAUCUAUACAUUAUAUUACAACUAAUCUUUUAAUUACAUCAUGUCCACUGCUAUUACACACAUACAUUCAUGCAUAACUUUCCUCUGUACUCUUGCUGACUUUGACUUCCCAUAGCUAUCUCAGAACCUGCAAAACUGGGGUUAAGGGAGUGGGAUGAGCUCUAGAGCCCAGUGAGGAGGAACAAUAAAAACAGUUCAGUCAUUACAUGCUCUCAUGAAAUGCAUCACAUCACAAACAUAUCAUCUCAAGGAUGAAUUUGUCACCAAUAACCCUCAACUACAUGUUAUAAUAAUGCCAACUGUGCCAAGGAGACUAUGUCAUCACCUGGUCUACACUUAUCUCUCUGAUAUCAUAACAUGACCAACUGUGCCAAGGAGACGAGGUCUCACCUGGUCUACACUUAACUCUGAUUUGACAGCCCAGCUGUCUCACUCAUAGUACCAGGAGCGACCUGGACUAUCCAGGGGCGACCUGGUAUGGCUAUCUCAUGCCAUAAAUCUGUAUCUGCUCUCUGUCAAGGGCUAAGGCUCAUCCAACAUUCAUCCACAUAAACAACAUCUUAUGCAAUGCAUCAUCGUCGUGAAUUCUAAUGCAAUACAACCUAAUACAUAACAUGGCAGUUUAUGAUGCAUGGAUCAUGCUAGAAUCGUGUCAUUUCUCAAGAGAAAAUAUGUAGUUUAG
rnacentral:lncRNA from 1 species